rnacentral:rRNA from 1 species
CGUGAACGAAGAAGGCUUUCGAGUCGUAAAGUUCUGUUAUAGGGGAAGAAGAAGUGACGGUACCUUAUAAGAAAGCCACGGCUAAUUACGUGCCAGCAGCCGCGGUAAUACGUAAGUGGCAAGCGUUAUCCGGAAUUACUGGGCAUAAAGAGUUCGUAGGCGGUUAAUCAAGCCAAUAGUGAAAUCCACCAGCUCAACUGGUGUAAGCUAAUGGAACUGAUUAACUUGAGUACAGGAGAGGAAAGUGGAAUUCCUAGUGUAGUAGUGAAAUGCGUAGAUAUUAGGAAGAACAUCAGUAGCGAAGGCGACUUUCUGGACUGUAACUGACGCUGAGGAACGAAAGCAUGGGGAGCGAACAGGAUUAGAUACCCUGGUAGUCCAUGCCGUAAACGUUGGAUACUUGGUGUCGGCCGUGAAGGUCGGUGCCGGAGCAAAUGUAUUAAGUAUCCCGCCUGGGGAGUACGGUCGCAAGGCUG